rnacentral:tRNA from 1 species
GCACUGAUAGCUCAGCGGUAGAGCAAUCGGCUGCAGUUUGCCAAAAAUACAUCCGAUAGUAAGGACUAGCCCUUUAACGCUUCACAACCCAAGCCUAACAUUUAACUUCUAGGGGCCUCGGUUCAAAUCCGGGUCAGUGCU